rnacentral:ncRNA from 1 species
CAAUAGUCAGAAUAAUAAUGACUAACUGGUACAGACAGAAGUCAGCAGAAGCCGUAGUACUGUGAGUUUUUUUUUACAGGAAGGGC